UGCAUUUCUCCCAUGAAUUUGAACCUGGAACACGAGCUGUAAAAUUUAGGCAGAAUAUCGAGUCUCUCGCUCAUUUUAAAUUUAUUGCAUAACGGGGGGGCGCGUAACCAGUCGGUAACUUGGGCCCCCAGUAACAAGCAUUUAGGAAUCGCUCUUUAAGGAAUGAGAUGGGAAAUUACUCCUUUCCUAGUCUUUCACAGGCUGCUGUGCUGGAAAGACCAAGAAAUGGCCUUAUAAAUCUUUAAAAAAAGAAAAAUUCCCAUGAAGUGACUAGGAUGCCUAUGAUUUUUUUUCACGGGCAAGUUGGACAGUGACCCUCAGUUUGCCAAAACUGGUGUUCACUUUUAGCCUGGAAGGGACAGACAUUUAUUGUGCAUUUACCAGUGUUAGAUCCUGUGCUAGGCAUUUUACUGCAUACUACCUAAUUUUUACAACUGUCCUCUCUGGGGUAGGUGGUAUUAUCUCUCUCUUUUUUUUUUUAACAGACGAAUUCACUUAGGCCCAGGGAGCUGCAGUGAUUAAUUUCAAGGUCACACAGUGUCAAGGAUGGAAUCCAGACCUUAUUUCCUUAUUGGCCACAGGUACUUUGGGUGACCCUGAGAUCUGGCAAAAAGGGCUCUGGACUAUUCUCCACUUCUUCCUCAGACUGCUCAAUCUUGUGGAUAGGUGAGACAUGGUCUUAUCACUGUAACAUAGUAGUUGUGAAAGCGACUCUGGAGCCAGCCUGUGGGGGCUUGAUUUCUGACGCAGCCACUUACUGUGUGACCUUGGGAUGCCAGCCAUCUUCUAAGAGUGAGAGGCAGAGAAGAAGCAGGGCGCUGAGGUGGAUGAGGGACAAAGAGGAGGGACCUGUGAGGACAAGGCUGACUCAGAAAGACCUGAGACGACAACAGCAUCAUAACCAUGAGAGCUAGAAGCCGGGGGUGCAAACCAGGUUCUGGCCCUGGGCCAAGCCCCGAGGCUCUAGGCUAGAGGAAGAACUAUCAAGACCUUAAAAGACCAAAUUCCAAAAAAGAAAGGACAAUAAGGAAACAAGAUAAGUAACCCUUCAACGAGCAGAAGCUGAUUAGUCACACAGAAGCCGUCUGAAUUAUAAGCAGCCUGCCCAGUGGUGACUUCAAGUCCAGUUUUCUAGAACCUUUGCCUCCUUGGCCACCUGUGCAUACCUUGAUCUUAGCACUCGGUAUAUUAGAAACUCUCUGCAUCUCUCUCAUUGACAAACUACAUUUCUCUAAGAUGGGGACCAUGCUGACUCAACAGCUCAGUAUGAACUCACUUAAUACUCGGUGCUGUGCACAAGUUCUUGGGCCACUGUAGGUAGAAAACAAACGUUUUUGAACUGCUAUAAUAACUGAUAAAAUUGACAUUCUGUAGUAUUCCUGCAGAGGUGAAAGGCACAAAAGUAAUAAUAAGCUUAAGAGCCCUUAUGUGGAGGGAUGAAAUUUUAAUAAUUAAAAUAAAUAUCUAAGUAAAAUGUUAGCGGUCAGAAGGAGAACUAGAAGAAUUUUGAGCAGAAAAACUCCCAGUUUACCCAGUUCACCCUAAAGGCAGGAAGAUGGGAGAGAAUCUAAAGAUGAAGAACAGAAGCUACAUCUGACUCCCUUUCCACCUUCAGAAGAGAUACUUUUGAGUUUCCAGUUCCUGACAUAUAAAUCCCUAAAGCAUAAAGGAAGCUCUGACUUAAAACAUGGCUAGUCACAAUCACAGAGAAAUGAAAAGGGAAGAAGAGAGAUGGGGAGAAACACAUGGGCAGCGAGACACACUUGCUUCCCCCACCCCCGCUCUCGAGCUCUCUCUGUCACACACCAUUACACAGUGGAAUAAUACAAAAUGUUUGCCCUGUUCCAAGAUUCGCCUUCCUACUAAGGGUCUGGUCUGCCCAUUCAUUGAUGAAACAUGUCACUGAGAUCCUGACGUUCGCAGUUAGGCUCCCUCGUCAAAGAGGGUAUGUGUGACAUAACCACAUGUGUUUACAGAGCCAUAUUACACAUCAGCUUCUUGCGGGGCACCAAGAAAGCCAGUCAAUCUGGAUAAGUAGCCUGUAAUUCAAACUGAAGGGAGCUCUGAGACCAGAAUGAGGCUUGUUCAGUGAUUCUCAGGCCUGGAUGGACAUGAGAAUCACCUGGGGAGCUUUAAAAAAAAAUACUAGUGUACACUCAACCCAAACCAAUUAAAUCAGAAUCGCUAGGGGUGAAGUCUGGGUAUUGUUUUUCUUCUUUUUAAAGCUCCACAAAGAAUUAUCAUGAAUUUUUUUCCCCUCAUAGUAAAAGCAAGUGGUUAUGUUUUUUGUAAAAUGUCUACUAGGGAUAGAAGAUUUGCUUUACAAUAUCCCAUGAAAGGGGCAGUUUUAAUUAUACAAGACUGGCAAACGUUGGUGAUUGUUGAAGCUGGGUGAUGGGCACUCAGGAAGUGAUUAUAUCAUUCUAUUCUUGUAUAGUUAAAAAACUCUAUAAUAAAAAGUUACUUUAUAAAACAGCAGAAACAACCAUCUGUUCUCUUCCUACCAAAUGUGUACGUGUAUAUGUAUAAUGUACUUAAUAUUAAAAAUAAUUAUGAAAACAUUGCAAUAAAAGCUUUGCAAGCGAUUCUAAUGUGCAACCAGAGUUGAGAACCACCAGGCUAUGUGCCUGAAGGAGGGGCAAACUUGACUUGGAAAAUAAAGAUUUAAAUAAGCAGCAAGAGGCAAUCCAGGUGAACGAGAUCAACUAAGGCUUGUGGCAGAUGCAACCCAGGGAGGAUGGCAGGCCUCCCCUACCGAGUCACUGUCUCCAGUUUCUGCUGUGCGUCCAUUUGCCUGAAUUUUUAGCAUCUUUAUUCACAAGUAAAUUGUAACUACACACAUACAUAUGUGUG